rnacentral:rRNA from 1 species
GCGAAGCGGCGGCAUGCCUACCAUGCAAGUCGUACGGAGAGUGGGGCAACUCACUCUCAGUGGCAAACGGGUGAGUAACGCGUGAACAACCUGCCUUUGAGAAGGGGAUAACUGUCCGAAAGAAUAGCUAAUACCCUAUAUAGCCUUUUGUCACUAAGGCAAAAGGUGAAAGCGAGGCUGUCAAAGGCCUCGGCUCAAAGAGGGGUUCGCGUCCUAUCAGGUAGUUGGUGGGGUAAUGGCCUACCAAGCCAAUGACGGGUAGCUGGUCUUAGAGGAUGAUCAGCCACAGUGGGACUGAGACACGGCCCGCACCCCUACGGGGGGCAGCAGUGGGGAAUCGUGGGCAAUGGGCGCAAGCCUGACCCCGCAAUGCCGCGUGAGGGAAGAAGCCCUUCGGGGUGUAAACCUCUGUCAGAUGGGAAGAUGGGACUAGGGGCUAAUACCUCCUGGUCUUGACGGUACCAUCAGAGGAAGGGACGGCUAACUACGUGCCAGCAGCCGCGGUAAU